rnacentral:rRNA from 1 species
UACGGGGGGGGCAAGCGUUGUUCGGAAUUACUGGGCGUAAAGGGCUCGUAGGCGGCCAACUAAGUCGGAUGUGAAAGCCCUCGGCUUAACUGAGGAAGUGCAUCCGAAACUGAAUAGCUAGAGUACGAAAGAGGGUCGCGGAAUUCCCGGUGUAGAGGUGAAAUUCGUAGAUAUCGGGAGGAACACCGGUGGCGAAGGCGGCGACCUGGGUCGAGACUGACGCUGAGGCGCGAAAGCGUGGGAGCGAACAGG